GUGGAUUAGAUACCCUAGUAGUCCACGCCCUAAACGAUGUCGACUGGUUGUUGGAAGGGUAACCUUUUAGUAACGAAGCUAACGCGUGAAGUCGACCGCCUGGGGAGUACGGUCGCAAGAUUAAAACUCAAAGGAAUUGACGGGGACCCGCACAAGCGGUGGAUGAUGUGGUUUAAUUCGAUGCAACGCGAAAAACCUUACCUACACUUGACAUGCCAGAAAUCCUGCAGAGAUGUGGGAGUGCCGCAAGGAAUCUGGGCACAGGUGCUGCACGGUCGUCGCCAGCU
rnacentral:rRNA from 1 species